rnacentral:rRNA from 1 species
GGCUCAGGACGAACGCUGGCGGCGUGCCUAACACAUGCAAGUCGAGCGAUGAAGCCCUUCGGGGUGGAUUAGCGGCGGACGGGUGAGUAACACGUGGGUAACCUGCCUCAAAGAGGGGGAUAGCCUCCCGAAAGGGAGAUUAAUACCGCAUAACAUUGGUUUUUCGCAUGGAGAACCAAUUAAAGGAGUAAUCCGCUUUGAGAUGGACCCGCGGCGCAUUAGCUAGUUGGUGAGGUAAAGGCUCACCAAGGCGACGAUGCGUAGCCGACCUGAGAGGGUGAUCGGCCACAUUGGAACUGAGACACGGUCCAGACUCCUACGGGAGGCAGCAGUGGGGAAUAUUGCACAAUGGGCGAAAGCCUGAUGCAGCAACGCCGCGUGAGUGAUGAAGGCCUUCGGGUUGUAAAGCUCUGUCUUUGGGGACGAUAAUGACGGUACCCAAGGAGGAAGCCACGGCUAACUACGUGCCAGCAGCCGCGGUAAUACGUAGGUGGCGAGCGUUGUCCGGAUUUACUGGGCGUAAAGGAUGCGUAGGUGGAUAUUUAAGUCAGAUGUGAAAUACCCGAGCUUAACUUGGGUGCUGCAUUUGAAACUGAACAUCUAGAGUGCAGGAGAGGUAAGUGGAAUUCCUAGUGUAGCGGUGAAAUGCGUAGAGAUUAGGAAGAACACCAGUGGCGAAGGCGACUUACUGGACUGUAACUGACACUGAGGCAUGAAAGCGUGGGUAGCAAACAGGAUUAGAUACCCUGGUAGUCCACGCCGUAAACGAUGAGUACUAGGUGUAGGGGGGUCCAACCUUCUGUGCCGCAGUUAACACAAUAAGUACUCCGCCUGGGAAGUACGAUCGCAGGAUUAAAACU